rnacentral:rRNA from 1 species
GAUGAACGCUGGCGGCGUGCCUAAUACAUGCAAGUCGAGCGAACAGACGAGGAGCUUGCUCCUCUGACGUUAGCGGCGGACGGGUGAGUAACACGUGGAUAACCUACCUAUAAGACUGGGAUAACUUCGGGAAACCGGAGCUAAUACCGGAUAAUAUAUUGAACCGCAUGGUUCAAUAGUGAAAGACGGUUUUGCUGUCACUUAUAGAUGGAUCCGCGACGCAUUAGCUAGUUGGUAAGGUAACGGCUUACCAAGGCGACGAUGCGUAGCCGACCUGAGAGGGUGAUCGGCCACACUGGAACUGAGACACGGUCCAGACUCCUACGGGAGGCAGCAGUAGGGAAUCUUCCGCAAGGGGCGAAAGCCUGACGAAGCAACGCCGCGUGAGUGAUGAAGGUCUUCGGAUCGUAAAACUCUGUUAUUAGGGAAGAACAAAUGUGUAAGUAACUAUGCACGUCUUGACGGUACCUAAUCAGAAAGCCACGGCUAACUACGUG